UUAAUAGGUAAAGUAUUAAGUAAUCAGACAAGAACCUACAUUUGGGGGCACCUGCACAAGAUGCUGAAACCAGACGGUUACAUCCCGUUCGAGAAGGGAACAAAGCAUGACUUCGGUAACACUGAUAUCUGAGUAAACAUUAAAGAAACCACAAGGUUAUAUCACUAUAGCAACAUAUCUCGAGUAAGACCUUGGGUAACCAAAAGCAUGGAAAACAGCUUGUGUUAACAAAAUUUGUAGCUAACUGCUUUGUUAAGAUUAUAUGAAGCGAGGAGAAGAAAGAGGAAGAUAAGAUUGCAGAAGAAGCCGGGAGGCGUGCCGAUGAUGUUGAAACUGGCAGCUGUGUAGAUAAAAAGGGGGGUUUUAACUUAAACAAUUCAGUGAGCCUUGACGGAGCUGCGACUCCUCGGCCACCCCAGCGCUGCAUUUACGCUCUUACCUUAAUAAAGAUUCAUUAAUCCAUAUUUGGAUGUGAUUUGCCUUAAUCUACCUAUAACAAAAUUUGGUGCUGUGACUCGGAUCCAGACAGCUGACUCGGCAUUCAACUAUGGGAGGGCGCCCCAUCCUUGGAUGGUCCCAGAGGGAAUCCUGACCUAGCUCACGUGGAUUUUCUGAACUGAGAUAGGAGAGCAAAGAGGAUACGGGGUGGGGGAUCAGACUCUCCGGUAACACCCCAAGACGGCUGUUCCCCGUAGUAUUUGUACAUGAAGACGGAACAAAGACUCUGGACUGAAUACAGCUGUGCAGACUGCGGAGAAGGGGUGGACACACGCCACCAGAAUUAAAGGGCCGGUUUCACCAAGAAAAUGGACUGCCACUACACAGCCCAGGACACUGUGAAUGAAAAUAAACAGGAACUGAGUGAAUGAGUAACCCUGACGAGGAGAUAAGUGAUACUUUAAAUAGAUUCUUUCAGGUUCUACCAGGAGGGACACUAUGGAGAAUUCGCUUUGCACCCUGGAGCACAGAAGAACCAUUACCUGAACAAACAGGUGGUGCCAGAACAUACAGAUUGGUGGACACUCUUUAGUAUACUGUAUUAUGUUGUGAAGUAGAGACUGAAAUUCCUGAGACACCCCGAUUGGAAGAUUUGCCAGACAUUCCCUGCAUCAAGCACCCUGAUUGAGAACAUUUAUGUUGGGUAGCGUGUAAAUGUUUUAAUUGUAAUAAGGAAUGGUCUUGUAUAUCAUUUAAAAAACAACCAUAUUGUAUGAAGUGUCACGGCAUAAUCAACAGGAGUCCAGAAGCCCAGGUGGAAAUUUGCAAAUUGUUCUGUGGGUGGGAAUUAUUAGUGCCUGAACACUGGGAAAUUUACGAUACCGAUUGGUAUAGAGCAUUAGGACCCUGUGUUGCCAAGAUUUCAAGUUCUCUGCAUAGAUCCCAGACCUAUUAGUAGCUGAACCCACGCUGCUAACAGUGCUUGCUGUCAUCUUUGGGGUAUUGAUAUUAGGCAUUUUUUUCUGAUACACUAGAGAAAAGUGGUGUGGCCACAGCUCCCUGGAGAGAAGAAGAGAGCCCUGAACAAGAGUAACUUGGUGCCUGUUAUAUUCCCCUGAAGACUAUCUACUGCUGCCAAGAUCAUCUUGAGAGCCCGUUGCUCCUUGCAAGGGAGUAGACGAGGAAAGGCAGAGAGAUAUUGAAUAGUGGGGAAAAUGAAACCAGGUAUUCUGUUAAUAUUGUUAUUUGGCCUCACCAUCGAGAAUGAAUAUCACCAGCCCUUUAAUUGGACCUUGGGUCGAUGGGAAGGUCCUGUUGUGUUGCAGUCUAACGUUACGACAGGUGCUCCAAGCUUUCUAACAUACCUCUGUGAUUUAGUACCUAUACAACCAUGCCUUAAUCAAAAGGGCCACUAUUUUUGUCCAAGCUCAAAUCCUGGAAAGAGUUACUGUAAUUUCCCAAAUCAUUAUUAUUGCGCAUACUGGGGCUGUGAAACCCUUGCUUCUGCAUGGGUUCCGAAUACCCCAGACAAGUUUUUACAGUUGCGCUGGGGCCCUGAUGGUUGUGGAACACCACCUCGGGUAGAUAGCUCGGGAGGAAGCACAGGUCAAAGCAGAUGUGACAAAAUAUAUUUAACAAUUCUCAAACCAGAAGACCCUUCAUGGCUAAUAGGACGCACCUGGGGAAUGAGAUAUUGGGAACCUGGAACCGAUAGGGGUGGAUUCAUAUUCAUUCAAAAACAUGAGGUUAAAAAUUCCCAAGUUAAAGGCCCAAAUCGAAUUAUUAAAGAACAAAAGGGUAAAAGGAAAAGGUAAAAAAGUAGAGACUUCUACAAUAUCUCAGGGGUCAGAUCCAACCACUACCGUUAAGAUUAACAAUGAGCAAAAGGCUGAUGAACCCCUUUGGGCUGUAAUGCAGGCAGCCUACCAGGCCUUAAACGCUACAAAUCCAAAUUUCACUAUCUCCUGUUGGUUAUGCUAUGACAUUAAGCUGCCUUUCUAUGAAGGAAUAGCUGUCCCCCCUCCUUUCAACACUUCUGAUGAGGACAGUCCCUCCAGAUGUAACUGGAGAGAACGGAAAGCAGGGAUCACUCUCCAACAAGUCAGAGGGAGUGGUUGGUGCAUAGGGAGAGUAACAAAUGGAAGAAAGGCCUUAUGCACAAACCAGACUCAGAACUUUUCGCCCACCACUAAAUGGGUAUUACCAAGUCCAGGAGCAUGGUGGGCCUGUUCCAUAACUGGGCUAACACCCUGCCUAUCUAUCACCACUAUUAAACAAAAUACCUCUCCUAUAUGGAUUUUUCUCCUAUAUGGAAAAAAUAGAUUACAGAAGGUACAACUGAUGGUGGUGAAACAAUCUGAAAUGGAGAUGAAAACAAUAUUAGAUGAAAAUCCUGAAUUAGAAGCAGCUCAUGAUAUAUUACCUAAGUUGAAUCAACAAAUUAAGGGUAAAUAGAAAAAGGGAAGAGUUGUUAUACAUGGUUAAAAGAUAAUUUACUGAAUGUUAAGAAUUUGACCUUUGAAUUUCUUGCUUUGCUUAAGGAGCUUAAUAGGUAAAAGUAAUCAGACAAGAACCUACGUUUGGGGGCACCUGCACAAGAUGCUGAAACCAGAUGGUUAUAUCCCGUUUGAGAAGGGAACAAAGCAUGACUUCUGUAACACCGAUAUCUGAGUAAACAUUAAAGAAACCACAAGGUUAUAUCACUAUAGCAACAUAUCUCAAGUAAGACCUUGGGUAACCAAAAGCAUGGAAAACAGCUUGUAUUAACAAAAUUUGUAGCUAAUUGCUUUGUUAAGAUUAUAUGAAGAGAGGAGAAGAAAGAGGAAGAUAAGAUUGCAGAAGAAGCCGGGAGGCGUGCCGAUGAUGUUGAAACUGGCAGCUGUGUAGAUAAAAAGGGGGGUUUCAACUUAACCAAUUUGGUGAGCCUUGACGGAGCUGCGACUCCUCAGCCACCCCAGCACUGCAUUUGCUUUCUUACCUUAAUAAAGAUUCAUUAAUCCAUA